rnacentral:snRNA from 1 species
GUGCUGCCUUUGGCAGCACAUGUACUAAAAAUGGAACUAUACAGAGAAGAUUAGCAUGGCUCCUGGGCAAGGAUGACAGGCAAAUUCAUGAAGUGUUCCAUAUUUUU